GAUGAACGCUGGCGGCGUGCCUAAUACAUGCAAGUCGAGCGAACGGACGAGAAGCCUUCCUCUCUGUUGUUUUAGGGGCACGCGUGUGUGUCACAUGGAUGUCACCUCUCUAUGACACGGGUAUCUUUGCGGAACCGCAGCUCUUAUAGGAUAAUAUAUUUAACUUCACGGUUCACAAGAGUAAGACACUGUUGUUGUCUCACAUAGAUGUAUCCGCGCUGCAUAAGCUAGUUGGUAAGGUAACGGCUCACCAAGGCAACGAUGCAUAGCCGAGCUGAGAGGGUGAUCGGCCACACUGGAACUGAGACACGGUCCAGACUCCUACGGGAGGCAGCAGUAGGGAAUCUUCCGCAAUGGACGAAAGCCUGACGGAGCAAUGCCGCGUGAGUGAAGAAGGUUUUCGGAUCGUAAAACUCUGUUGUAAGGGAAGAACAAAUGCGUAAGUAACUGAGCGCAUCUUGACGGUACCUAAUCAGAAAGCCACGGCUAACUACGUG
rnacentral:rRNA from 1 species